GAAUUCACUAGUGAUUUGGCGGCGUGGUUAAGACAUGCAAGUCGAACGAGAGAAUUGCUAGCUUGCUAAUAAUUCUCUAGUGGCGCACGGGUGAGUAACACGUGAGUAACCUGCCCCCGAGAGCGGGAUAGCCCUGGGAAACUGGGAUUAAUACCGCAUAGUAUCGAAAGAUUAAAGCAGCAAUGCGCUUGGGGAUGGGCUCGCGGCCUAUUAGUUAGUUGGUGAGGUAACGGCUCACCAAGGCGAUGACGGGUAGCCGGUCUGAGAGGAUGUCCGGCCACACUGGAACUGAGACACGGUCCAGACACCUACGGGUGGCAGCAGUCGAGAGUCAUUCACAAUGGGGGAAACCCUGAUGGUGCGACGCCGCGUGGGGGAAUGAAGGUCUUCGGAUUGUAAACCCCUGUCAUGUGGGAGCAAAUUAAAAAGAUAGUACCACAAGAGGAAGAGACGGCUAACUCUGUGCCAGCAGCCGCGGUAAUACAGAGGUCUCAAGCGUUGUUCGGAAUCACUGGGCGUAAAGCGUGCGUAGGCUGUUUCGUAAGUCGUGUGUGAAAGGCGCGGGCUCAACCCGCGGACGGCACAUGAUACUGCGAGACUAGAGUAAUGGAGGGGGAACCGGAAUUCACGGUGUAGCAA
rnacentral:rRNA from 1 species